rnacentral:tRNA from 1 species
GACUGGAUAGCCUAGUGGUCAAGGGCAGUGCUUCUAGGAAUGAUGAGGUCUCAGGUUUGAAUCCUGGUCUAGUCC